CUCGGCUCGGCUCUGCCUGCACCCCGCAAAGCUGAAGCGUGACUCAAGCCGUCUGUCACUGUGCAGAAGUGCUGAGAGGGGAUGGCUGCUCAUUUCCAGACCCUUCCAGGCCUUGGGAAAACUCUGACAGCAGUGAGGUGCUUGGCUAAAAACUGCAUGUCAUGGGUUUGUGAGCAACAUGAAAACGCUGUGUGCCUAUGUGAUUAUAUACCUAAAAUUCUGUAAUGUGUACUCACACGUAUACGUACUUUUAAAGACCCAUAUCUGCAUAUAUACUACUGAUUUAUUUUACACCUCAAACCAGUAGUCUGUGUUCUGGCAGAUGCUUUGCGAACCAUCUCAGUAUGGGAUGGAAAAUAAAAUAAUCUUUAUAUGUCGUAUCUAAUGUUAAAAACUUCCAGUGAUACAUUACACCACAUCUCCACUUCUUAUUCCAAAUUUCCCUUGGUGCUCACUUCUAAAUUUAAACAAACUACAUGAAACACACUACCCUUUUUUUUCCCGGACAGCUUAUAUCUCUUCCGCUUACCUCAGUUUUAAAUGUUUGCUUACAGAAGAAAGAAAAGAACACACCAACUCCCAACAACCUUCAAAGAAACAUUUUUAAAUGCACCUUUACUUUUCCAGAAUCAAUCUUGCACUGUAAAGGGCAGUCCUUCCUCUUGGUGUUUGAAACACCGAGAGAAUGUUUGGUGGGUUUUGGCUGCUUAAAAGCAAGAUGUAAAUUUAAUGAGACUUCAGAAGGUCUUUAACUUCCUCGUUCUAAGAUCACCGUUCUAAAUAAGCCACCCAAAAUGUCAAUAAAAGUCAAAUAUUUCA